rnacentral:rRNA from 1 species
GGGGAUGACGUCAAGUCAUCAUGGCCCUUAUGUCCAGGGCUACACACGUGCUACAAUGGGUGGAGACAGAGUGACGCGAAGCCGCGAGGUGGAGCAAAUCGCAGAAAAUCAUCCGUAGUUCGGAUUGGAGUCUGAAACCCCGACUCCAUGAAGGUGGAAUCGCUAGUAAUCGCGCAUCAGCAUGGCCGCGGUCCGAAUACGUUCCGGGCCUU